CCCUGUAUCGAAAGUGACCAUGGCGUCCUGUGGCCCUGGUCAUUGAUAGUACAGGAAGAAGAAGCUGAGAGCCUUUCCCGUGUCUGAAGGAUUGUCACUUCCUCUCAGGCCCUGAUGCUCUCACACA